AUUGAACGCUGGCGGCAGGCCUAACACAUGCAAGUCGACCGAGCGGCGGACGGGUGAGUAAUGUAUGGGGCCUGCCCGUUAGAGCGGGAUUACUACUGGACCCGGUAGCUAAUACCGCCUACUAUCGGCUACCCCAUAUGGGAUUAGCUAGUAGGGGAGGUAAUGGCUCACCUAGGCGACGAUCCCCAGCUGGUCUGCGAGGAUGAGCAGCGACACUGGGACGGAGACACGUGCCAGUCUCCUACGGAGGCAGCAGAGGGGAAUAUUGCACAAUGUGCGCAAGCUGGAUGCAGCCAUGCCGCGUGUAUGAAGAAGGCCCUAGGGUUGUAAAGUACUUUCAGUCGGGAUGCGUUGCCGACAGAGGAAGCACCGGCUAACUCCGUGCCAGCAGCCGCGGUAAUAC
rnacentral:rRNA from 1 species